rnacentral:lncRNA from 1 species
GGCUGUCACUUCCAGUUUUCAAGCAAGGUUGGAAACCAGCCAUGAUGUAUGAAACACUGUUGACCAAAGUGCACAAUUAGUAAUACAAAAUGAAUAAUAUAAACUAUUGUAAAUAUGUGUGGACAUCGUGGCAAUUUGGACAUCAAAAAACACUGCCAAAUUCAGGAAGAGGAAGCUGUAAACUCAUGGCUGUUAGGAAGCUUAACUUCUGUGUACUAGAACCCAUCAAAAUUUCUCCAUGUCCA